GAGGUGGGGAGGAAACAGGCCCCUCAACCCACAAUAUCUGCAUCGAACAUAAUGUCAAGACCAUCACUUCUUUACCUGCACAUAGCCCAUAUCUCUCCAUUCCCUGAAUAUCCAUAUAUCUACCCAA